rnacentral:misc_RNA from 1 species
GAUGAAGAACGUAGCGAAAUGCGAUAAGUAAUGUGAAUUGCAGAAUUCAGUGAAUCAUCGAAUCUUUGAACGCACAUUGCGCCCCCUGGUAUUCCGGGGGGCAUGCCUGUCCGAGCGUCAUUACAACCCUCAAGCUCAGCUUGGUGUUGGGCCCCGCCGCCCCGGCGGGCCCUAAAGUCAGUGGCGGUGCCGUCCGGCUCCGAGCGUAGUAAUUCUUCUCGCUCUGGAGGUCCGGUCGUGUGCUCGCCAGCAACCCCCACUUUUUUUCAGGUUGACCUCGGAUCAGGUAGGGAUACCCGCUGAACUUAAGCAUAUCAAUAAGCGGAGGA